UUCUGGCUGAUGUAUAAUUUAGACACCAGCGUGUUUUUGGUUCUGUGUCAGCAACAUUGUGCCUUUAAAACAUACAACUAGCCUGUGCAGUGUUAGGACACAGUCCAGACCAACAUCUGGACAUCGGCAGAGUCCACACUGUGCCAAAACCCAGCUUGCUUUACUUGGACUUAUUCAAACAACUGAACCAAGUUAAUUCCAGCUGACAAGAGACGGCAGCUCCGGAUACACGUGAGCGAAGAAGCCGACGGAGCUAUUCAUGGAACAUCGAAAGAGGAGGAGAGGGAAGAGAGGCGAGCUAAAGGCUAGAGCUACCAGACCUCCCCUGCCUAGUCUUUUACUAGCUGAUGUCUGUGUCCUGUCCUCAAUCUAAUUGUCUGUCCUCUGACAGCCAGCUAACGUCUUUCCCAACAUCAAUCCUCUGAAGACCGUUGUCUUUUGUCCACAGGUUUGUUGAUGUUUCAAGGAAAGUGUGAAAAUGAAACAUCCAAAAACAAAGUCAUUAACAUAUUUUCAUCUUCAAACUACCUUCAUGUGAUUUUUCCAUGUCAUUGAUUUUCCAUUUGUUCAUAUCUGUUUAUCAUUUCUUCAAUAUGAGUUUUAAAUACCAACAACAUUUGACUCACAGCAGAAACAACUUCAGGCCUUGUUUUGUUUUUAAGAAAUAAAUGAAUCAAACAUCAAUUAGCUGAAACCAAAAUAAUGAUGGACAGCAGUGAAGACAAACUGGUCUUCUGCAAA